AACAUUCCACCAAAACAAAAAGGAAGAGAUCAAUUAAGGAAAGACAAGAAAAAUGGCCAAGAUUGAAAAACUGCUUUUUCGCUUCAUUACUUUUGCAGUGAUCUUCAUGUUGAUUAUAACAGGAAUAUCAAAAAUGGAGGCUAGAAAUCCAAUAAAUAAUCGUUGUGGCGAAAGAAUUCGAUAUAAUCCGAAAUUGUGUGAUAGACGCGGUACAUGUGAAACAUCUUGUAGUCGACCAAGAAAUACUACGUAUAAAUUUGGAAGAUGUAUUGGACAAACAGUUGGGAAGGACACAUACUAUAUUUGCCAUUGCCGCAAUUGCCCAUGGCCAUGAGCUCUUCAAUAUCCAGACUUAAGGAAAUUUUAUGCUUCCACAAAUUCUUGUCCGUUUGACUAAUUAAUAGGUGAUUAUUGAUGAAGUUAUCAUUUAUUUUUUUCUUAUUUAUCAUUUUAAUAACUGUUGGCUAAAAAGCUUCUCAACUACAAAUUUUGUUUUCUACAAAGCUAAAGGAAACUGUACUUGUCUUCUAUAAAAAAUCCUCCAAAUCUUCAAUUUUUAUAGUCUUA